AGACAGCGCGAGCUCGCGAGCAGGGGAGGGGGCUCGGGAGCCAGGCCGUCCCUCCCUCUGCCUCCCCGGCAGUGGCCGCCGCCAAGUCCUGUCACCGGGAAAAGGACGGGGCGGAAACUUGCCUCUCGCGCCCCCGAGGAAGGGGCAAAGGUGGACGCAGGGUUGUCCGGGGAGCAGCCCCUGGCCGCGGGGUCCGCAGCAUCUCCGUCGGCAGAGUCCUCUGAGAAGGCGGCCCGGGGAGAGGUGAAGAAGAGUAAGGGGACAGGGGACAAAAUGGGUGACUGUGGUAGAGGGAGGGUGACCUAGAGGUGACUGGAACUGAAGAGAGAGUCAACAGAGGACUGCAUGGGAGGGCAAAGGGCAAUGCCAAAAAGAAAACUAGCGACUGGGACGGGCCUGGGCCGCUGAGUUAGAGGCAGUGGGGCCUGGGGGCUGCAGACGGCAGGGACGGUGCCCCAGGACGAAGAUCGGGGAGAGCCGAGUUCCAGGGUCGCCAGCAGAGGACCCUCGCGCCCGUCCGGCCGGACCCUUCGGCCAGCACCCUGCACCCCCUCGGGCGCACCUCACCCUACCCAACUCCCGGUCCUGCCGCUGCUCCCCGGAGGCGCCCCGCAUCCGUCAAGUCCCCUACGGCUCCAACAGGGAGAGGCUUCUCCCAUUGCAGUCCUAGCUCCAGAGGGGAUGGAGAGGCGCGACUGUGGGAGCUGGAAGGGGCACCACCCGGCAAUUGCGGGAUAAAGCAAAUGCUGCACACAGAGUGUGAAACUUAACCUGGUUGAGAAUUUUCGGCACAUCAUGAAAUCAUAAGUUUGUAUUGGAAAGUCCAUUCUCUAGACAUCCGUGAACAAAGUACUGAGGGGACGUAGGAGAUUGGCACUGAAAAUGCGAGAACCCCCAUUUAAGUGUUACUUAGACCAAUCUGUUUUACGCUUUGGAAAAGCAAGUUUUUUUUCCAACUUAUACGGUAAUUAGUUGAAAAAAAAAACUUUUGUUUAAUGGCAGUUAUCAAACUAUGAGAGGAACAUAUUCCCUGAUUUUAAUCUUAUAAUGAGAAAGGUCACUUGCGGUAGACAAUAAGAGUGUUUAUUGAACACUUACUGUGAAUCUGACUGUGCUAGGUGAUGUAUAUAUGCUAUAGGCCUUAAUCCUCAAACCUUCCGAAGUCAUUGCCGCUUUUCACUUCACACAAAAAAUUGAAGCUUAAAGUAAUUUGCCCAGGGUCACAGCCAGUAGUUGGAGAGGAUGUGAGCCCAGUUCUGGUGAGCUCCAAAGCCCAUGCUUUUAAACAUGUCUUCAUCCUAAAAUUUGUGGGUGUACCGCCAAUUUUAUUUGGGAAAAGAAUAAAAAAAAUGUGUGGGGUGUGUGUGUCUGUGUUUGUUUGUGGAUAGAAAAUGCUUGGAAGCCUAUAACAACAAAUGUUAGCGCUGGGGAGUGUAAGAAGUGGGUGAUGAGGCACUUCCACUUUUUAUUUUGCACACCUAUCUAAUGUUUGAAAUGUUUGCAUUGACUAUGUAUUAAUGUAUAUUUUUAAAGGUUUUUUUUUUUUUUUUUUUUUUUUUUUUUUAGCUAGCUGGAAUAAUAGAAUUAUGUUCCCAAAGCGUUGAGAGGAAAUGGAGAGUUUGUUUAUGGCCUAUCUUCUGCUAAUACCAGUCUGUAGCUUGUCUACAAUGGGGUAGUAGUCACCUGAGGUUUGUCACAAUUCUGAACUCCCGAUUUGCUUUCCUGUCCUCACCCCCAACUGUGAGUUAUCAGGAGUUGUGAUAAUAAAUAAAUAAAUAAAUAAAAAUUUAAAAAAAAGAUUCUCCUUCUUGCUUGCUAUCCCUCCCAUUUUGGCAGAAGUCCAGAGUCUAUCAGUCCUCUGCAAUCGUAGAUUUCACACUUUUUAAAACUACCCAUGAUACCUCUGCAAACAAAUGACUCCCCCCAUUGCAUUCCCGUAUUACCCAAUAAAACGUCUUACGACGGCUGAAGACUUUUUCUUACAAGAAAUAAACAAAAACGUCUGACAGCAUAGUAGAUGAGUUCCAUGCCCAAGUGCUACUCAAUUGCCUGAGCUUGAAUUGAAUUGUGUGACUUAAACGCGCUCUGGUACAAUCUCUGGGUGCCCUCUGAACUUCAGGCUCUUGCUGUAACAGUAGUCUGUCUUGCACUAGAGUUGUUUAUAUGUUUGUCUUUCUCUUUCACUAGAUUGUAAGUGCAACAGAGCCCAAGACCUAGUCUUGUUCUUGUUUGUACAUGCUAUAGCACCUAACAAGGAAUGUAUGAUGUUUGUUGUUUCAUUGAAUUUGUGAAAUAUAAAUAAUAGUAUCUAUUCCGAUCCUCAUGUCCUCUUCCCCACCUCAUCUUCCAAUCCCUUGCUCAUAAAACAUGUUUAUAAAAAACAUCUUCCAUACUUAGAAAGAACUUUGAUUCCCAUGAGACCUCAGAACAAUUGUUUAUUAAAACUAGCCAUAAUUUUUAGUGAAUCAUCACUAUGAUAAUGUAAAAUGAAAAGGUAGAGGAGGCGGUAAAUAAGUUGGCUCAAUGACACAAAUUAAGAAAGGAAGAAGAAGGAAAGAAAAAAGAAGGCAAAGAUAUAGGAACUAGGUAUAUUACCAAGAGAGAACAACAAGGAAAAAAUAUGUGGGUGCAGAUCAUAAAGGGGAAGGAAAUUAUUGAAAUUUAGUGGAAGUAGAAAUAACAUACCGUGAAUGGAUGAGGCAAGGAAACACCAAAAAUGUCAGCAGAAUCAUAAAUGCAGCAUGGAAAAGUAAAGAAAAUGACAAAUUAUAUAUUUAACAAUAUAACCUAGGAAUAAUCAGAACAAUAUGACUGCUACAAGACAAGAAUUUCUAUUUUUGUCUGCCUUUUCUUCCACAGUUUUCAAAGUACUCACUUUUUUCAUAAGUAAACUGCAUAAAAGUGGGAGAUUCUAUACUAUUUUUGAGUUAAUACUACUAGCAUACAUCAUGAGAUUAGAGGUAACAGUAUGGUAAAAAAGAGCUAUAGAAUAUAAGCAAAUAAAUAUGAUGUGAAGUGGUCUCUGUAAGUUACUGUGUGACCUCAAACAAGUCACUAAAUAUCGCAAUUUCCUCAUCUGUGUAAUUGUUGCAAGACUCAAAAUGGUGUAAAUAAAUGUACUUUGUUAACUAUCAAGCUCUUUAUACAGAUGUAAGGGAAUAUUAUUAUGUCAGCUAAUAUGUAGCACAGUUAUCUCUGUUUUGGUGCAUUCCUAAAUUGCCAAAGCAAAAAUCUAUAGUUCAUUCUAUUAAAAUGUAAUCAUAGGGUGGGGGCGUCAGUUAAAACAUUUGUUUGUCAAUUUGAUUAUUGAACGACUGUGAUGAAAUGUUUCAUUCUUAUUGUUUGCUCUCUUCUAAAUCCCUUAAAUAGUAUAACUACAAUAAACAAAUGUCUAAUAUAAGUCAAGCAUAUUACAUAAAUUUUUUCCUUACUGAAGUAGUCAUUGUAUGUAUAUUAUUCUCAUUUUAUGUACAAUAAAGCUGAGCUUCAGAGACUUCAAGUAAA
rnacentral:lncRNA from 1 species